GGAGGCAGCAGUGGGGAAUAUUGAGCAAUGGCGGGCAAGCGUGAUCAGCCAUGCCCGGUGAGUGAUGAAGGCCUUACGGGUUGUAAAUGCUCUAUUAUCCGGGAAGAUAAUGACUGAACCGGAAGAAUAAGCCCCGGCAAACUUCGUGCCAGCAG
rnacentral:rRNA from 1 species